rnacentral:piRNA from 1 species
UGUGGAUGCUAAGAAGAGUGUUGCUA